UGCGCCACGCCACUAGUGUGAGCACAAGCCUACAUCUAGUUUUCGCGCCGCUAGGUCACCAUUCCUGUAAAGUAGUGAUCUGUCAGCGUUCGUUUUCGAAACUAGUUGCACUAUAGGGUCAGCUAGCUUCACUGGAGCCGAGAGAGGGCUGAUAGAGCGUGCGGUCCUUAUUGGCGGUCCUGUCUUGGUGGAGUUAAUUGCCGAGGAGUCAAGAGCGUUGUCAUAAGUCAUUUUUCAAAUGCAGUGAGGUACUACUGUUGGAUUUCUGUGAUAUCGAGAUGAAUACUGUACAGAGAAUUCUUUCAGUUUUUGGCAGGAACUAUUUGAACAAUUUGGGUUCCGGCAUUAUUCGUGGGUUGGUCUUGGGUUUCAAAACUUGCGAAGAGAAAACGGCAAAGGCCUUGUUAAACGCAAUUGCGGACGAGUUGGACGGCAAGGGUGCACUUGCAUCACAAGAGACGGAGACUCAAGCAUGGGUUGCAAAUGGAAUUGAUGCGUUUAAGGCAUCCGUUAAAGAGAUAUUUCUUUUUGAAAAAUUGAAUAUUCCAGUAAGUGAUGAGGUUAAGACAAUGUUCAACCUCUGUCUUCCAGCCAUUUCAUUAGUAUUACCAGAAUUUACUAUUCCUGGGCACGUUGUGGGUAUGAUAUUUGUUGGUGUCUUCUCGACAAGUGAAAAGAAAAAAGUAGUUGUCAGUGCAGGUAAACAGUGCGUUCAAAGUUCAGUUGAAGAUGCACUACAAAUGCCUCAGAUGGCAGCAGGCGUCCUAAGAACAGUGGCAUCAUUUCUUUAGAAAAAAUAUUUAUGGUGCCUCUUUCAAGUCACAUAUUUUGCAGAAAGUGUGCACACCC